UGACACGCUUCUUACCAAGAUGGCGGGUAAUCUCCGUUCGGAGUUUGAUGUGAUCGUAAUAGGGAUGGGUGCUGAAAGCAAGCAUCCUAUUUUACACCAUCCACCUAUCCACCCACAAUCUGAGA
rnacentral:lncRNA from 1 species